GACGAACGCUGGCGGCGUGCUUAACACAUGCAAGUCGAACGGAAAGACCCUGCUUUUGUGGGGUGCUCGAGUGGCGAACGGGUGAGUAACACGUGAGUAACCUGCCCUUGACUUUGGGAUAACUUCAGGAAACUGGGGCUAAUACCGGAUAGGAGCUCCUGCUGCAUGGUGGGGGUUGGAAAGUUUCGGCGGUUGGGGAUGGACUCGCGGCUUAUCAGCUUGUUGGUGGGGUAGUGGUUUACCAAGGCUUUGACGGGUAGCCGGCCUGAGAGGGUGACCGGCCACAUUGGGACUGAGAUACGGCCCAGACUCCUACGGGAGGCAGCAGUGGGGAAUAUUGCACAAUGGGCGGAAGCCUGAUGCAGCAACGCCGCGUGCGGGAUGACGGCCUUCGGGUUGUAAACCGCUUUCGCCUGUGACGAAGCGUGAGUGACGGUAAUGGGUAAAGAAGCACCGGCUAACUACGUG
rnacentral:rRNA from 1 species